GGCUUCUCCUCCCAGUCUUAUUUGGUGCUACAGCCCCUCCACCACGAGGUGGCUACGGACGAAGGCGGAGGGAAGUGGGAUCGGAUCAUAAAGAAACAGAGAAUCGUUCAAAGCGCCAUGGAGUGAGACCCCUUGACAGCCUCGGCUUGAAACAAGCCACGCCUCUCUGCUUCUGCACAAGAGGAAUGAAGAAUGAAAAAAGUCUACUCGAAAGCCUUUCACCUCCCCGCCCCCCGCGCGCCAUCCCAUCCCCGCUCGUCUCUCUCCUGCAUCCAAUGAGAGACGGGUGGGCGUGGCUAGCCUCGUUCUGCUCCGAGGAUUCCUAUAUAAAGCACCGGGAGGGCGGCGGUUCGCUCUUUCGCUUGGACCUCGAGGAAGUAGGAGCUAUGGAACUAAGAUUUGUGUUACUAUUGCGGAGACACAAAAUGAGCUCUGUGAUUAUGAAAACACCAUAUGUAGAAAAGUAUUCUAUGGAGAAGAGUGGAUUUUCUUAGGCUUGAAGCUACUUUAUCCUAAAGGUUAUAGCAGCUGAAAUCCAGGCAGCAGUUCCUUAUUCCUAACAUACAUUAAGCAGGUGGAAUGUUUUGAAUUGGGAAUGGACGGAGAGCCAAGCCUGUAGGCGGAAGACUCAAUUCCUUUUUACAGAGCCUAUUGCAAAAACAGUGAUAAGAAGUAAAUGCAUCAAACAAGGUUAUCUGGAAUCUACGUGAAUGAAGUUCCAGCGUCCAUUAAGGAAUAUCAGAUUAAUAAUAAAGAAUAAAUGAAAACCUUUCUUGCGGUUAAAUGUUUAUAACAAUUAUAUGUACCAGUAGGUUUGCUAUAUUCAAAGUUUGAUGUUCUCAAAUGGUUCUUUUUCAUGUCAUGGGAUCUUAUGUGGCUCUUGAGAAUGAAGAUUGCAGCAGUGUUUCAGAAUAAAGCUUUAUAAUCACUA